rnacentral:rRNA from 1 species
AACGAACGCUGGCGGCAGGCUUAACACAUGCAAGUCGAACGCAUCCUUCGGGGUGAGUGGCAGACGGGUGAGUAACGCGUGGGAACGUGCCCUUCAGUUCGGGAUAACCCAGGGAAACUUGGGCUAAUACCGGAUACGUGCGAGAGCAGAAAGAUUUAUCGCUGAAGGAUCGGCCCGCGUCUGAUUAGCUAGUUGGUGGGGUAAUGGCCCACCAAGGCGACGAUCAGUAGCUGGUCUGAGAGGAUGAUCAGCCACAUUGGGACCGAGACACGGCCCAAACUCCUACGGGAGGCAGCAGUGGGGAAUAUUGGACAAUGGGCGCAAGCCUGAUCCAGCCAUGCCGCGUGAGUGAUGAAGGCCUUAGGGUUGUAAAGCUCUUUCGUCCGGGACGAUAAUGACGGUACCGGAAGAAGAAGUCCCGGCUAACUUCGUGCCAGCCGCCGCGGUAA